rnacentral:rRNA from 1 species
UUCGCAAUGCCCGAAAGGGUGACGAGGCGACGCCGCGUGCGGGAAGAAGGCCUUCGGGUUGUAAACCGCUGUCGGGAGUUAAGAAAUGUAAGGAUGUUAAUAGCAUCUUUGCUUGACUAAGGCUCCGGAGGAAGCCACGGCUAACUCUGUGCCAGCAGCCGCGGUAAUACAGAGGCGGCAAGCGUUGUUCGGAAUUAUUGGGCGUAAAGAGCACGUAGGCGGCUAUGUAAGUCGGUUGUGAAAGCCUUCCGCUCAACGGGAGAACAGCAUCCGAUACUGCAUGGCUUGAGUGCGGGAGGGGAGAGUGGAACUUCUGGUGGAGCGGUGAAAUGCGUAGAUAUCAGAAGGAACGCCGGCGGCGAAAGCGGCUCUCUGGCCCAUAACUGACGCUGGGUGUGCGAAAGCUAGGGGAGCAAACGGGAUUAGAUACCCCGGUAGUCCUAGCCGUAAACGAUGGGCACUAAGUAGAGGGGUUUU